rnacentral:lncRNA from 1 species
GUCUAUCGUACGAUGGACGGUCGUGCACAAAUGUAUGUCUGUUGCGUGUGGCCGCGCGUUGCCAUCCAUCACGUGAUGAACGAGAUAUGCUAUACAUCAUUGUAUGAUAGAGUGUGUGGUGCACAGCAGAAGAUUCGUACGGUUUUAAUGGCCUACAUGAGUGAUAAGCUUCAUAAAGUAGCUUGCAUGUGCAUUAGCUUGCGCAGACCAGCUGCCGUGCGAUCUAAGCUUAGAAGGAAAACGACC